AUUGAACGCUGGCGGCAGGCCUAACACAUGCAAGUCGAGCGGAUGAAGGGAGCUUGCUCCUGGAUUCAGCGGCGGACGGGUGAGUAAUGCCUAGGAAUCUGCCUGGUAGUGGGGGAUAACGUCCGGAAACGGGCGCUAAUACCGCAUACGUCCUGAGGGAGAAAGUGGGGGAUCUUCGGACCUCACGCUAUCGGAUGAGCCUAGGUCGGAUUAGCUAGUUGGUGGGGUAAAGGCCUACCAAGGCGACGAUCCGUAACUGGUCUGAGAGGAUGAUCAGUCACACUGGAACUGAUACACGGUCCAGACUCCUACGGGAGGCAGCAGUGGGGAAUAUUGGACAAUGGGCGAAAGCCGGAUCCAGCCAUGCCGCGUGUGUGAAGAAGGUCUUCGGAUUGUAAAGCACUUUAAGUUGGGAGGAAGGGCAGUAAGUUAAUACCUUGCUGUAUUGACGUUGCCAACAGAAUAAGCACCGGCUAACUUCGUG
rnacentral:rRNA from 1 species